GACUUGGUUGACUUAGGCUACUGUCUGAGAGGCUAGUAUUGUUUUAGUCUCUAACUAUAGAUACUGUCUGAGAGGCUAGUAUUGUUUUAGUCUCUAACUAUAGAUUCUGUCUGAGAGGCUAGUAUUGUUUUAGUCUCUCUAACUAUAGAUACUGUCUGAGAGGCUAGUAUUGUUUUAGUCUCUCUAACUAUAGAUACUGUCUGAGAGGCUAGUAUUGUUUUAGUCUCUCUAACUAUAGAUACUGUCUGAGAGGCUAGUAUUGUUUUAGUCUCUCUAACUAUAGAUACUGUCUGAGAGGCUAGUAUUGUUUUAGUCUCUAUAGAUACUGUCUGAGAGGCUAGUAUUGUUUUAGUCUCUCUAACUAUAGAUACUGUCUGAGAGGCUAGUAUUGUUUUAGUCUCUCUCCCUAUUCCCUAUAUAGAGCGUUAUGCAUUUUUGGACCAGAG
rnacentral:lncRNA from 1 species